rnacentral:rRNA from 1 species
UGGGGCUGCUUCCACAUGCAAGUUCGAAGCGGUAAGGGCUUCCUUUCGGGGGUACACGAGCGGCGAACGGGUGAGUAACACGUGAGUAAUCUGCCCUUCACUUCGGGAUAAGCCUCGGAAACGGGGUCUAAUACCGGAUACGACUCAGGCCUGCAUGGGUUUGGGUGGAAAGUUCUGGCGGUGGAGGAUGAGCUCGCGGCCUAUCAGCUUGUUGGUGGGGUGAUGGCCUACCAAGGCUUCGACGGGUAGCCGGCCUGAGAGGGUGACCGGCCACACUGGGACUGAGACACGGCCCAGACUCCUACGGGAGGCAGCAGUGGGGAAUAUUGGACAAUGGGCGGAAGCCUGAUCCAGCAACGCCGCGUGAGGGAUGACGGCCUUCGGGUUGUAAACCUCUUUCGCCUGUGACGAAGCGCAAGUGACGGUAACAGGUAAAGAAGCACCGGCCAACUACGUGCCAGCAGCCGCGGUAAUACGUAGGGUGCGAGCGUUGUCCGGAAUUAUUGGGCGUAAAGGGCUCGUAGGCGGUUUGUCGCGUCGGGAGUGAAAACCAGGUGCUCAACACCUGGCCUGCUUCCGAUACGGGCAGACUAGAGGUAUGCAGGGGAGAACGGAAUUCCUGGUGUAGCGGUGAAAUGCGCAGAUAUCAGGAGGAACACCGGUGGCGAAGGCGGUUCUCUGGGCAUGACCUGACGCUGAGGAGCGAAAGUGUGGGUAGCGAACAGGAUUAGAUACCCUGGUAGUCCACACCGUAAACG